AUAGUGGUAUUUGUAUAUAUUCAGAAAUGUGGUUAAGAGAAUAAAUCUGACAGCCCCUGAAAAUUUCAGCAUAACACUGGGUCCGGAAUUGGCGGGUUCUUGGUUUCACUGACUUCAAGAACAGAGCCGCGGACCCUCACGAAAUUACAGUUCUUAAAGGCAGCAUGUCCAGAGUUUGUUCCUGCUGAUGUUUAGGUGUGUUCGGAGUUUCUUCCUUCUGAUGGAUUCGUGGUCUCCCUGGCUGAGGAGUGAAGCCGUAAACCUUCGCGGUGAGUUUUACAGCUCUUAAGGCAGGGCGUCUGGAGUUGUUCCCUCCUUCCAGUGGGCUCAUCAUCUCGCUGGCUUCAGAAAUGAAACUGCAGACUCUCCAGACAAGUGUUACAACUGCUAAGGCGACGCUUCUGGAGUUGUUCGUUCCUCUCGGUGGGCUCGUGGCUUCGCUGGCUUCAGAAGUGAGACUACAGAUCUUCCCGUGGCACAUGGACACCCAAGAACUUAAGGAGGUCAGAGAAAAUCUCAAAAGAAUAUGCAAAAUUUGUCCAGAUUUUUUAUCCGUGAUUGAACUUGAACCCCUGAGUUUGGUGAAAUUCCAAUAUAACUGUCUGGGAGAUCAUCAGAAACUAAUAGUCUUUGAGGAUGCAGGUGUAAUGAAGAGAGAUUGGAGAGAUUAAAGCUCUAUGCAGUGGACUUGAUAUUGUGAUUAAGGAUUAUAGACUAAAAAUUGUGAUAAAUUUACAAAAACAGACGGCCCUUAUUAAAGGGGGAAAGAAAAAAAAACACGCACACCCUAAGGCCCCGCUGGGAUUCGAACCCAGGAUCUCCUGUUUACGAGACAGGCGCUUUAGCCAACUAAGCCACAGAGCC